rnacentral:siRNA from 1 species
UGGAUAAAGAACCGAAUCGAUGC